rnacentral:lncRNA from 1 species
CCUUGUUCCAAGAUUAUGGGUAUUAGUUGUUUACACUUAUCUUGAGUUAGCUUUGAUGUUUAAUUAAAUCUAUUGCCACUUCAGUUAUAAAACCAGCCAAAAGUUUCCAGAUAAAGGUCAAGUUUGACCCUUUCAGAGUUACUGUACAUAAAGGCUUCAUCCAAAAACCAUCCAGUGUACGUGAGCAAAUACAAGAAAUGACACACAAGCACAACUCUUCCGAUGUGGCAGUCCUUUUUCUUUAUAGGUGUGCAAAAGUUUCACUGAAAGCUGCUAUUUUCAUCCUCCUUGUGAUUGUUUUUCUUGUUUCUCCAUUGUACAUGUGGGUUAUAGACCAUAUGUUAAAUAUGCAAUAACGUGUUUACUGGAUGCCCUUCUGAAGGGUAGUCCUUUGUAAAGCUGUACAGACUUUGCAGUUUAAGCACAAUGUGCACAUGUUAGUUUUAUACACAGCAAAACUUGAUUUUUUGCAGAUGGAAAGGUAUUUUGUUUCUAUACAAAGUAAAUGGAUUGUUUGUGCUUAACGUAAAGCUGCUUUAUAUAAUUGUAAAAUAAAGUUUUUAUCUUAAAAGGACUAU